rnacentral:rRNA from 1 species
UACAGAGGUCUCAAGCGUUGUUCGGAUUCAUUGGGCGUAAAGGGUGCGUAGGCGGCGCGGUAAGUCGGGUGUGAAAUUUCGAGGCUUAACUUCGAAAUUGCAUUCGAUACUGCCGUGCUUGAGGACUGGAGAGGAGACUGGAAUUUACGGUGUAGCGGUGAAAUGCGUAGAUAUCGUAAGGAAGACCAGUGGCGAAGGCGGGUCUCUGGACAGUUCCUGACGCUGAGGCACGAAGGCCAGGGGAGCAAACGGG